GGUGAGGUAAUGGCUCACCAAGGCUUUGAUCGGUAGCUGGUCUGAGAGGAUGAUCAGCCACACUGGAACUGAGACACGGUCCAGACUCCUACGGGAGGCAGCAGUGGGGAAUCUUGCACAAUGGGCGAAAGCCUGAUGCAGCGACGCCGCGUGGGGGAUGAAGCAUUUCGGUGUGUAAACCCCUUUCGACUGGGAAGAAUACCUCGCAAGAGGGGUGACGGUACCAGUAGAAGAAGCCCCGGCUAACUACGUGCCAGCAGCCGCGGUAAGACGUAGGGGGCCAGCGUUGUUCGGAAUUACUGGGUGUAAAGGGUUCGUAGGCGGUGCGGCAAGUUGGGAGUGAAAUCUCUGGGCUCAACCCAGAGGCUGCUUCCAAAACUGCUGUGCUCGAGUGUGAGAGAGGCUCGUGGAAUUGCAGGUGUAGCGGUGAAAUGCGUAGAUAUCUGCAGGAACACCCGUGGCGAAAGCGGCGAGCUGGAUCACUACUGACGCUGAGGAACGAAAGCUAGGGGAGCAAACAGGAUUAGAUACCCUGGUAGUCCUAGCCCUAAACGAUCAGGACUUGGGGUGCCGCCCGUUCGGGCGUCGUCCCGGAGCUAACGCGUUAAGUCCUGCACCUGGGGAGUACGGUCGCAAGACUGAAACUCAAAGGAAUUGACG
rnacentral:rRNA from 1 species